ACACCCGUUCCCAUACCGAACACGGAAGUUAAGCUCUUUUGCGCCGAUGGUAGUUGGGGGAUUCCCCCUGUGAGAGUAGGACGUCGCUGGGC
rnacentral:rRNA from 1 species